rnacentral:misc_RNA from 1 species
AACGCACCUUGCGCUCCUUGGUAUUCCGAGGAGCAUGCCUGUUUGAGUGUCAGUGAAUUCUCAACCCCUCUCGAUUUGCUUCGAGCAGGGAGCUUGGAUGGUGGGGGCUGCCGGAAUCUUUCUUUGACUUCGGCUCUCCUGAAAUGCAUCGGCUUGCGACGAGCUUUUCGAAGUUUGCGCGACAAGGCUUUCGGCGUGAUAAUGAUCGCCGUUCGCCGAAGCGCAUGGUACUAAUCGAAGUGCUUUUUGCGUGCCUCUAACGCGUCGACUUUGCGAUGCCUUCCGGCGUCGGGGUCUUCCUCUUUGACUCUUGACCUCAGAUCAGGUAGGACUACCCGCUGAACUUAA